GUAUUAUGUCAAAGCAGCAGCAAGAAGCCCCCUCCAGAACCCCUGUGGGGUGACAGCACACCAAUCCCACCGCCCAUGGGGACACACUUCCCUCUUCAAAAGGCAAGGAAAGCAGCUACUGAGGGUUUCAUCAGGAAGUGGUAACUACUUGAAUUGAGAAACAGAAGUUGACAACAGCAUCACCCAGAGCUCUGUGGCUUGGGCUGCAGCUGAGCUAACCCCAAACAGAUGCUCCAUGACCAAGCUAGAUGCCCUAUGGACAGAAGGUUGGACACUGGACACACAUCCACCAGCACCACCACUACCACAAAUGCCAUGCUGCUCCAGCAGAAGGCUUCACUACUACUGCUGCUUGCUCUUUGUACAAUUUGGCCUUGUCUUCAGCCAGGACCUCUGGCAGAAAAGUGCAUAUUCACUGAAAACAGUCAGAGAAGCGAUACAGUGGUCCAUCAAUAACACAACACCUCCAGCCCCUCUCCAAUAUCUGUAGGAGAGAUAUAGAUGACUACAAGUAUCAUAAACCUCUUGUACAAUAGCCACAUCUUCUUUUAAUUAAUUGUUUUGAUACCAAGCACAAAGGUGACAGACAACUGUAGACAUCAAACUGAGCUAUUGCUGUAGACAUCAAACUGAUUUAAUCUGGAGUUACUCCUAACUGGUCUCUGUCAAACUCAGUUCUAGGUCAGAAUUGUCUUCUUUUAACUACCCAGAAGUCUGUGAAAUACCCCCCUAAUGUGUCCAAUCCAACAAGCUCUCCUGAAGAUGGUGGUGCCUCUCUCCUGAAGAUGGUGGAGCUGCAAAGUCUGUGUGUAUUUCUUUCUCUAUGUUUGCACACAUAUAUAACAUGAUUUAAAUAAAAGGAAUAAUUAGGA